CAGCAGCCACGGUAAUACGGAGGGGGCUAGCGUUGUUCGGAAUUACUGGGCGUAAAGCGCACGUAGGCGGCUUGGUAAGUUAGAGGUGAAAGCCCGGAGCUCAACCCCGGAAUUGCCUUUAAGACUGCCGAGCUAGUAGGUGAGAGAGGUAAGUGGAAUUCCGAGUGUAGAGGUGAAAUUCGUAGAUAUUCGGAAGAACACCAGUGGCGAAGGCGGCUUACUGGCUCAUUCCAGACGCUGAGGUGCGAAAGCGUGGGGAGCAAACAGGAUUAGAUACCCCCGUAGUCCCUGUCUCUUAUAC
rnacentral:rRNA from 1 species